rnacentral:rRNA from 1 species
GGAGUCUAGCAUGUGCGCGAGUCAUUGGGACAUUACUAAACCUAAAGGCGCAAUAAAAGUGAAAGUCAGCCUUGCGCUGACCUAGGGAGGAUAGGCGGUCGUUACGGCUGCCGCCUCGCACUCCCGGGGCGUCUCAUUCUCAUUGCGAGAAGAGGCGCACCAAGAGCGUACACGCUGGGACCCGAAAGAUGGUGAACUAUGCCUGGUCAGGACGAAGUCAGGGGAAACCCUGAUGGAGGUCCGUAGCGAUUCUGACGUGCAAAUCGAUCGUCGGAACUGGGUAUAGGGGCGAAAGACUAAUCGAACCAUCUAGUAGCUGGUUCCCUCCGAAGUUUCCCUCAGGAUAGCUGGCGCUCAUAGAGCACGAGUUUCAUCCGGUAAAGCGAAUGAUUAGAGGCAUUGGGGUCGAAACGGCCUCAACCUAUUCUCAAACUUUAAAUGGGUGAGAUCUCCGGCUUGCUCGAACUAUUGAAGCCGCGAGACUCGAAUCAGAGUGCCAAGUGGGCCAUUUUUGGUAAGCAGAACUGGCGCUGUGGGAUGAACCAAACGCCGAGUUAAAGCGCCUAAAUCGACGCUUAUGGGAUACCAUGAAAGGCGUUGGUAACUUAAGACAUCAGGACGGUGGCCAUGGAAGUC